UGGGAAUGGGGAUGGGAUAGGAUGAGAUGGGAUGGGCUGGAAUGGGGAUGGGGGUGGGAUGAGAUUGGGUGUGAUAGGAUGAGAUGGGAUGGGACCCUUGCAGGAUGGUCUGAGACAUCUCAGCUCGUUUGUUAUGCUUCUCUCUUUCCCUCUGGGGAAGUUAAUGCCCACUUCUGCAUGGCAGGGAUGGAUGGCUGACCUCCAUCUGCUGGUGGCAGGAUGCAGCACAGUGGCUGUGCUAAUGCUGUCCUGGCUGCAGUGCCACACUUGGUGCAGCCUCUGCAAUAUUUAGGGUCCUGCCCAGGGCCAAGCAGCUUCUGGCUGGCCUGCAGCCGACCUGUGGGACCCAGUCAGCAGGCCACAGUGCAUGGAAUGCCCUUAGGAAAAACCAACAGGAUCAGUCCUCAAAGCAAAGCACAACUUGCAUUUGCCUUUGCCCCCACAAUAGACAGUAAAUAAAGGCAGUGAUCAAACAGGGCAGGACUUAGGGGGGCUGGGACAUCGCCCUGGGGGGAGCUGCUCCCACAGCAGGCUGCACAGCUCAGCAUGCAGGCGGGUCCUGAAUACUUCCAUUGAAGGAGACCCCACACCUCCCUGGGCAGCCCAUCCCAGUGCUCCAUCACCCUCGCCAUGAAGAAGUUCCUUCACAUUUUGGUGCGGAACUUCCUGUGCUCCAGUGUGUGGCCGUUUCCCCUUGUCCUGUCCCCACAGACCACUGAGAUGAGGUUGGCCAUGUCCCUUUGUCUCCCACACUGAAUAUAUUUAUAAGCACUAAUCACAUUCUUUCUCAGUCUUCCCCAGGCCGAGCAGCUCCACGUCACGCAGCCUUCCCCCACAGGGAGAUGCUCCAGGCCUUCUCAGCUCUGUUAUCAGGAUGCCAUGGGAGAUAACACCAAAAGCCUUGCUGACAUCCACUUGCACCAAAAGCCUUGCAGAUGACAUCCACUCCUCCCCCCGCACCUACCCGGCUGGUGAUGCCAUCAUAGAAGGCUACGAGAUGGCACCCAGAACACGCUGCUCCAUGGCCUUUCCAGGCACAGAGGGUACCUUCUUACUUCCUCAUCAACACAGCAAUUGGGGUUUCGUGAGUGGAACAAAUGUGCAACAGCCCCGAGCUGCGAGGAGGAGUCAGGAGAGAGAUUCCGUGCAGUGCUGCAGCACGGUGCAUCCGCAGGGCACUGCCCACAGCACCGUGCACUGCCUGCAGCACCGUGCACUGCCUGCAGCACUGAGCACUACCCGCAGCACCGUGCAUUCCCUGCAGCACCGUUCUCUACCUGCAGCACUGCGCAUGGCUCUCCCUGCAGUGCCCGCAGCGCCAUGAACUGUGUCCUGCUCUGCGUGCACUGUGUGCCACCUAUGCCGUGCACCGCCUGCAGUGCUAUGCAUGGCCCGCACACCGUGCUGCCUGCAGCUGCUUGCACCGCCCAGGGGAGAUUGCAGAGGGCAGAGCGCUGCUCAUUGUGCUCCUGUCCCCACUGCCGGCAUGCAGCCGCGCUGGAGCGGAGCUGCUCUGGAAGAACCAAAGGACAGUUCCCCCCCACCCCCGCCCUGUGCUCGGAGCUCAUCUCCCCGCUGCCGAUCAGCACAUUCAGUGCUUAAAAGGAAACGAGUCCGCUGUGCUGAUGGGAGAGCCCGGGAGGCGCCGUGCGACCCUGCUUGGCAGCUCCGGGAAGGGCACCGUGUCAGAGCUCCCCGUGCACAAUGCACAGCGCAGCGUGUACAAUGCACGAUGCAGGACGCAGGGAGAGCGGAGUGCCAUCUCUGUUGGGGACGGCCCCGUUUCCGUGGCAACCGAGAGGCUCCGGCGGCGGCCGCGUGGCCCCGGCAGAGGGCACUGCGCGUUGUGCAGUGGAGGAGCCCAGCCCCGUGCCGGGCAGCACUCCAUGUUCCCGGCCUGCUGCGGCGCUCAGAGCGCUGGCACAGCGCUCUGCUGGAGUUACUCAUCGCUCCCAUCAGCAGCCCUCACCCAGCGCCCAUCUGCGGCUGCAGGACAGCGCCGUUCAUCAGCGGUGUGAGUCGGAGCUGGAGUGUGUGCAGCGGGGCCUCAGCUGUGUGCCCAUCGCCGUGCAUCCCUCGCCGUGCUGCGUGUGCUGCAGGAUGGGGCUGCACACGAGCGUGCAAAGUGCUGGGUGCGUGGAAAUGGCUGGAAAAGUGCUCCCUACUCCUGCUUCAAUCAGAGGAACGGAGCAGCUGUUGGAGUGAAUGGGCCCUGCACUAAAGCAGACGUCUUAAUAUCUUUUGCAGAGGAGGUGCAUUGUGAUUCACUCUGUGCAUCUCUAUUACUCAGCGUUUGAUAGGGGCUUACUUGUCUCAAGUGCUUUUCAUUAUUGCCCUAAUGCUAUCUAUUAACAUAUGGGAUGGAGGCUCUUUUCUCAUCUGGAGCGUGCAUCACUCCGCUUUUAAGGAUGAUGGGGCUUGCAAGUACAUAACACUUUGCUGCCUCCCUGACGGAGCUCACCAGGAGGAGGGAGGGGGUGCGUGGGGUUGGAGGGCCGCAGGGCUGCGAGGACACAGUGGUGUGAGCAGAGCCACAGCCAUGCACUGCUCCACUGCCACAGCCCUGCACGGCAGCCGGGUCAGUUAGCUGCUUUAACUGCCCAGGGGGUGUUUGCAGGUGCAGGCUCUGUGGGCAGACUUUGCGGGGGAAGAUUACAGGUGUGGUUUUCUGGGUGGGUGCUGUGUGAUGGGCAGAGCUGUGCUGGGGCGGUCCCACGCGCUGCUCUUACUCUGCACAUGGCUGCAACUCAGAGCUGAACCUUCUGCUGGACAGGAGCAGAAGGAGCUGCAGCCUGGUGAGAGAGCACAUCUCUUCCCUCGGCUCAGGAUGAGUUCUGCCUUGCAUUUUGGUGAGCUAUGGCAAGAAACGCAAUAGCACAGGAGCAAAAAUCACUGCACCUCAGGCUCAGAGCGGUUGGAAGGGACCUGUGGGGCUCCCCCAGCCCGGCCCCAUCCUGCAGGACCCGCAUGUCCCAUCAGCCAGGUUGGGAUGGGGGGAUUCAGAGCACCUGGAAACCCCAGCGUGGCACAGUCGUGCAGCAGCCGCCUCCGAGCAGCUUGAUGGAUGGCGGGCCGGUCCCACCCGCAGCCAGAUGACAGCUCCUCGCAUCAGCCGCUGUGAUAAAUAGCAAUUACAGACAGGAGCACUGCCACUCACAUUUGCCUAAGUGAGGAGCAGAAUCAUACAUCUCCGCUGAUUACAUAUCAAUGAUGCGCUGGAGGCCUUCGCAACUUUUAGAUCCGCUUAAGAUAUGCCGCCCUGAUUUAGACGGCG
ensembl:lncRNA